UCCUGGGACCAUGAGGCAGGCGGUGGAGGCUCAGGUGUUGAGCCCGCACUGUGAGCUUGGAGAACACGGCCUUCGUCAGAUCCUGACCGAUGUGAUCGCGGAGGUGAGGAAGUCGGUGAACCCGGACCUUGACGGAGCUGAGAUUCUCCACGGGCUCCUGAACGCCUCCUGGCUGCAAUCGCUGCUCAAGGUCUACGAGUGUCUUCAGGGGUACCUCCGAGAUUCCCCAGUCCCAGCUCUGGACUACGCUUCAGGACUCUCUCUUCAGUUGCUGGUUGACAUCACAGCGCUGCCGGGAUGCUCUGAAGACGCAAAUGAGCUUUACCGCCUCCUGAGACAGCCGCACCUGCAGGCUCUUCUCUCAGCUCACGAUACGGUGGCCCAGAAGGACUACGAGCCGGUGCUGCCACCGAUGCCAGAAGAGCUGCCAGAUGAUGAGGAGGCCACCAGGAUCAUCUGCCUGGUCAAGAAUAAACAGCCUCUGCUGCGCAACCACCAGAGAGUCGAGCCGCCGCUGCCCAGUGCGCCCCCCCCUUGGACAAAAUGCUCCAGAGGGGGGAUCCGCAGCCACUGGGACACCCUGAGGCAUCUGACCCAACAGAGGCUUCGCCGAGGCGGUGCAUUUGGGAUCCGGAGCCCUGCUGCCGCCGUGUGCCUAAACUCCAAGAAUUCAUCCUGGUGUAGCGUCCGCAGAGGCAGCUUCCCGCCGACUGAGCCGACGUGUCACGCGGCGGCGGCAGCUCGGCCUUGCCCUCCUCCCCGCCAUAAGCCGACGACUCACUGCCUGAUGUGCUGCAGCGAGCCGAUGAGGCGCUGUAGAGUUUGUUACUCCGGCCUGCUCUGGGAGCAAAGUCUGAACCGCUCUGCGCCGUCGGUCUACAGCUCUUGUCUUUUCAUUGGAGACAACGUCAUCGAAGAGCUAGACGGGGGAGACGAAGAUGAAGCCGGAGAGUCCAGCAAUGCCCAAUCCCCGCUCCCCACGGCCCCCCGGCGGUGGACUAUGUCUCCCCCGUGUCUCACCGUGCCCUACUACCCCAACGCAGGCCACUACCUCCCGCGAGGACUGCAUCCAGGCCUUCCAAGCCAGAGCCCUCGCAUCCGCACCGCUCCCCCGAGCCCCAUGCGCCCUCGCCGCGGGGUGGAUUUGCCCCCAGUACCCCCCGUGGAGCUGGCCAAGCAGGAGAGUCUGGACGAGCUGAGGAUGACGGUGCAGCUGGCCGCCUGCUCCAUGGAGAACAACACCAAAGACAUCAAGCUCCUCGGGGAGACGAUGGCCGCCGCAACCGAACGCAUGUCGGAGACGGUGCGGGACAACUCCCAGGCAUUGGCCCUUCUCGCUCAGGUUGUGGACCGGCUGCAGACGCUCCUGGGCCCCGCCACCAGGACUGAGAGCAACGCCCUGACGCCCGCCGAGCGAGACGGCACACCGGAGAACAGCCAAUCUCCGAAGAGCCGAGGGCAACCAAGUCCAUCCCCGACACACCGAUCCACUUGUUCCUUCCCCUCGCUUCCUUCCUCUACCUCCUCCUCCUCCAGCUCCCUCAGCAGCUCCCUGGAUCCCUCCACCUCUCAGCGGACCAGCUGUCAGUCUGCUUCCUGUCGCGGGUCACCCCAAAUUACCCUGAAAACCAAGAAUGCCCUUUCGCCACGGAAGAAUCACGCUGAGCUUCGAGUGUCCAAGCAUCUUCUGACCAAUGGCCUGCCUGAUGAGCCCAAGGAGACCUCCCACGCUGUAAAAUGGGGUCGUUCAAACCAGCGGAAGAAGUGGAAGAAGAAGAAGGCAACUUGAGAGAACCCCAAAGAGUGGACGUCCUGGGUCCGUUCAAGCUGUCUCCGUAGAGCAGCUGACCUGCAAACACGCACAGCGGGAGCGACCAUAAAAAGAAACGAGAUCUCGGGGGACAUUUUUAUCGCUCGGGUGAUUCACGGAGGGCUGGCUGAUCGUAGUG